rnacentral:lncRNA from 1 species
AUGGAACUCCCUUCAGUGUGUGUGUGUGUGUGUGUGUGUGUGUGUGUGUGUGUACAUGUCUGUGUGUGUGUGUGUGUACAUGUCUGUGUGUGUGUGUGUGUGUGUGCAUGGACAUGUCUGUGUGUGUGUGUGCAUGUUCAUGGAAAUGUCUGUGUGUGUGUGCAUGGACAUGUCUGUGUCUAUGUGUGCGUGCAUGGUCAUGUCUCUGUGUGUGUGUGUGUGUGUGUGUGUGUGUGUGUGUGUGUGUGUGUGUGUGUGUGUGUGUGUGUGUGUACAUGUCUGUGUGUGUGUGUGUGUGUGCAUGGACAUGUCUGUGUGUGUGUGUGCAUGUUCAUGGAAAUGUCUGUGUGUGUGUGCAUGGACAUGUCUGUGUCUAUGUGUGCGUGCAUGGUCAUGUCUGUGUGUGUGUGUGUGUGUGUGUGUGUGUGUGUGUGUGUGUGUGUGUGUGUGUGUGUGUGUGUGUGUGUGUGUGUGCAUGGACAUGUCUGUGUCUAUGUGUGUGUGCAUGGUCAUGUCUGUGUGUGUGUGUGUGUGUGUGUGCAUGGUCAUGUGUGUGUGUGUGUGUGUGUGUGUGUGUGUGUGUGUGUUAGUGUGUGCAUGGACAUGUCUGUGUCUGUGUGUGUGCAUGGACAUGUCUGUGUGUGUGUGUGUGUGCAUGGACAUGUCUGUGUCUGUGUGUGUGUGUGUGUGUGUGUGUGCAUGGACAUGUCUGUGUGUGUGUGUGUGUGUGUGUGUGUGUGUGUGUGUGUGUGUGUGUGUGUGCAUGGACAUGUCUGUGUCUGUGUGUGUGUGUGUGUGUGUGUGUGUGUGUGUGUGUGUGUGUGUGCAUGGACAUGUUUGUGUCUGUGUGUGUGCAUGGACAUGUAUGUGUGUGUGUGUGUGUGUGUGUGUGUGUGUGUGUGUGUGUGUGUGUGUGUGCAUGGACAUGUCUGUGUCUGUGUGUGUGUGUGUGUGUGUGCAUGGACAUGUCUGUGUGUGUGUGUGUGUGUGUGUGUGCAUGGACAUGUCUGUGUGUGUGUGUGUGUGUGUGUGUGUGUGUGUGUGUGUGUGUGUGUGUGUGUGUGUGUGUGUGUGUGUGUGUGUGUGUGUGUGUGUGUGUGUGUGUGUGUGUGUGUGUGUGUGUGUGUGCAUGGACAUGUCUGUGUGUGUGUGCUAGUGAAAGUGCUA